GAUCAUUACCAAAGCAAAGCGAACUCGGUUGCCUGCGCAGCCCAGCGAGCUUCAACCAAAUGUGAACCAAACGCCUUUUCGCUUCGGCAGCAGCGGUGCAACAGCCCGCGUGAGCCUGCCGCUGGCACCAAACCAAAACUGCUGUUUAAUCUGUCUGAACGCAAAUUUUUGAAUCAAAUCAAAACUUUCAACAACGGAUCUCUUGGUUCCCGCAUCGAUGAAGAACGCAGCGAAACGCGAUAGUUAAUGUGAAUUGCAGAAUUCAGUGAAUCAUCGAGUCUUUGAACGCAUAUUGCGCCCAUUGGUAUUCCAUUGGGCAUGUCUGUUUGAGCGUCAUUUUCAACCAUCGACCUGGGUCGGUUCUGAGCCAGCUCUGCGGGUGCCCAACCCGAGCUGGCUUUAAAAUGGUUUGCUGGCGGCUGUUGGAACCGAAAACAUAGUAACAUUACUUGUUGGCGGUCGGAUGGCUCCAGCGCGAACAACAUCAUUUGGUUUGACCUCAGAUCAGACAAGGAUACCCGCUGAACUUAAGCAUAUCAAUA
rnacentral:rRNA from 1 species